UACAGAGGUCUCAAGCGUUGUUCGGAUUCAUUGGGCGUAAAGGGCUCGUAGGUGGCCAACUAAGUCAGACGUGAAAUCCCUCGGCUUAACCGGGGAACUGCGUCUGAUACUGGAUGGCUUGAGUUUGGGAGAGGGACGCGGAAUUCCAGGUGUAGCGGUGAAAUGCGUAGAGAUCGUAAGGAAGACCAGUGGCGAAGGCGGGUCUCUGGACAGUUCCUGACACUGAGGCACGAAGGCCAGGGGAGCAAACGGG
rnacentral:rRNA from 1 species